GCAAGUCGAGCGCGCCCUUCGGGGUGAGCGGCGGACGGGUGAGUAACGCGUGGGAACAUACCCUUUUCUACGGAAUAGCCUCGGGAAACUGAGAGUAAUACCGUAUACGGCCUUCGGGCGAAAGAUUUAUCGGUGAAGGAUUGGCCCGCGUUAGAUUAGGUAGUUGGUGGGGUAAUGGCCUACCAAGCCGACGAUCCAUAGCUGGUUUGAGAGGAUGAUC
rnacentral:rRNA from 1 species